rnacentral:sRNA from 1 species
GGGUCAUUUGCUCAGCACAGGGAAAAUGAUGCAUGAAGUUAUUGAAUGCUUAGUGUUACAGGUACGUAACUGUUAGCCUGCUUUCUCUUUGCAUAGUUGCAACAGAGAACUCAUCCCUCCUAUAUCUGAGUAAACAGAGUCGAGACUGCGUGAUUCACUUAAAAUCAGGUUAUCUUCAAUCCUUAAUUUCUUCCUGCAUAAAACCUUACUAAUGCAAAGGUGCCCAUGUCAAAGGAUUACUAUAGGGACUAUGAUAAUAAACUCAAAAAAGUGCUAGAUAAUGUAAUGGAGGAAAUAAGGUCAGGAAUAACAAAGGCUAGGACAGUCUCUUAAAUUGCAUAAUGAGUUUGACAGGAAUGAAACACAAGGCUAUUAUUUGCUGAAUGCCUGUUAAUCUUGCUGUGUGCCAAUUGCCUUAAAACUUAUGUUGCUUCAUUUUGAUAUUUUAUCAAUAAGCGAACAAGCCUGUAAGGGAUCAGUAACAUAUCCAGGUGACUCAAUAGGGAGAAGGAGAAGAUAUGGGCUGGAUGUGGUAAUGUCAUAUCCUUUAAUCUUUGCAGUCCAGGUGUGGAGUUAAGAGGAUUUUAAGUUGGAAGCCAUCUUUGGUCUCACAGUCAGCUCAAGGUCGACCUGGGACACAUAAGACCCUGGUCUAAAAAAAAUAAAAACAAAAAAAGAAUCAGGGUCUGGGUAGUUCUUACCUAGCUUGUCAUAUGGGUACUGCACUACAAACAGAAAACAAAAUAACAAAAAUAGAAUUGAAGGUCGAUUUACCCAAGCCUGAGAUCCACUAUUCUAUUUCAUACAACAGUUUAUAAAGACAGGAGAAAUAAAUCUCCUGCUAUAGUUUGGUCCUUUGAUUUCAAUUGUUUUUCUUCUUCAAAACAAACAAUAAAAGAAUGUAUCCUAUGAUGAACCAUAUUCUAGAAAGUGAGGUAUCUUACUGCCUCAAAAACAUGGAUUUCUGAAUAGGAAGUUACCAGAUACAUCUCUCUUCUUUAGAGACCUUGAAGGAAACUUAUUUGGGCCAUUUCUUAACUCACUGCCUAGCAACUUUACAAGCUUGGGUUUCUCACUUGUUGGAAACUCAGCUGAGGGCAAAUCCUCAGGGGAAAGGUAAUGAAUCUCUUACAUCCAAGUGGGAGGUGAGGCAACUCACACACAGGACAAUGUUCUUUAUACUAAAGUCAAACAUGGAGUUUUCAGCAAAACUCCUUCUCAGAUACGGAUUGCUGCUCCUGCUCUGUGUGGCUUAAAGCACACAAUGCAGUUUUGAGACCCUUGGUUUCCUUAUCUGCAAAUGCAGUUGCAAUUAUCUGCCGACUAACAUGAGGAAGAUGCGGCUACCACAAACUAGAUGCUCAAUACAUUUCCCUCCUGACUUCUUUUUUGAAUAGAGUUGUAUGUGAAAUCUGAGGGAUUUCAGUGGAACCUAGGAGUGAUAGGUUGGGGACUCCUCCACAGUAGAGCAGAAUCUUAUGGGGCUACAGAGAAAGUUUCAUAGACACAGGCUUUUUUAGAGCAUAACAUAAUUUACAACUUGGAAUCUCUAGCUCACAUUAUAUUAAAGAGUGAUUUCAAGGGCAUUAGUAUGAGGAUGGGCGUCAAUGUGGCUGCAAUAUGAUGACAAAUGAUAGUGAGGUUGGGAGACUGAGGCAGAGGUCCCUUCUCUCCAUGUUUGUAGAUGCUGUUCCCAUGGAGAUCAUUCCCAGCAACGGCACAGUCUCACCCAAGAAACGGACUCUGACUUGAGUCCUUAUCUUACUUUUGUUCAUGAGAAGAAUUUGAAUGGCAUGUGCCAACAGAUGUGGUUUGAAGCAGCCAGAAGACACACCAAACAAAUUCAACUUCUUCCAGGUCUACGACGAGCACUGGCCUUUUGCCUCAGGACUCUUGUGCUUUCCCCUCUGCCUGUGAGUGCCUCCUUUCCCUCAGACUGUCCAUCUUGACCUUGUUCAUUUACACUCAUUCUCCAGGCUUCAGAGAGUCACUCUACCCAUCUCCUAAAAACGACUUUGUGCCCUUUCUGUGGUAUUUAGGAGAUUUAAAUACUGUACAAACUCAUCACUCUCCCCAAUUCUUUGUUCAUGCUAUCCCUCCCCCUAGUAUCAUGUAGACUCAGAGGGAAGUUGGCCUGCCUUGCACACUCUGUAGUUCAGCACCCAGCACCAUAUGUACCACGUAACAGGCACUCAAAACAUGUUUAUUAAAUGAGUUCAUAAAGAGGACGAUGGAGUGUGUGCUCUGAGGGACUCAAGUCCAUGAGACUUCACAGGAAGAAUAUCAGACUGUGUCAGAAUGCUUUGCAAACAUGCCUCGCUUCCCUUUCAACUUGUAGAGCGAGCUCUGGGAAACUUUUUUUAUGCUAGCUUAAAAGUCUUAAAGUCUAUUUUCUCAAAGGCUUGCGGGAUUAAAAUCAAGCAUCUAGUGUCCUGAGAGAUCUCAGUAUUAAGUGACUUAUUUCUCCCUGUAGGAGAAAUUGCUGAUGGGGCUGUGAGAUAACCAGAACUUCAAGACUCAGCUAGGAUUUUGCACAUCCUUUGUUGGGGCAUUCUUCCAAUCUGCUUGCCACAAUGGAUACUGUUUAAGAGGAACUUAUCCUAGAGAAACUGAUAUAGAAGACUAUCAAGUCUAAGCAGAGACCCCCAUGCUUGCUUUUCCCUCUGCAAGGGGUUUGUGGUUCUGCAUAGAUGUACAAACUCCUAUGCAAAAAAAGACCUCUUUCAAGAAGGCUCCACCUAUGGUGAUCAAAGAAAUAAAGGCAAUUUAUGUUUCCAUUUUCAAGUCUUCUAAGUAACACAUAUGAAGUGUCGCAGGCUGGAAGGAAGCCAUGACCUCUCUCACCUCUUAAGUGUCUUCGGUGCCUCAAGAAACUCUUAGGGUUACUACAUUACUCCUAGAAUUUCUUCAGAAAGUGAAUGUUAUGUACACACAGAUGUUCUCACUUCUAGUACAAGCCUGGGUCUCUUUUCACACAGCUUGCCAAUAUGCUGGAUCUUUUCCACCAAAAUAACCCACACUGAAUAAAGCAAAAUUGUAGAUCCAGAGGCAGGACACUUCUGUCAGCACCCUGCACAGAAAAGUGUCCUUACCUAGUUCUGGAGUUGCGCUGUAAUACACAAAGGAACUGGAUAUUGGGUCUUCAGCAACCCACUCAUGUGUUGCGGAUGGAUGGAACCUGGGGCUCCAUACCACUAAAAUGAACUCUUGCAAGUAGGUCCAUACUAUUGGGGGAAAAAUCCUGCUGGAAGAUAAUGCAUCUGUACCCGUGAAACUGAGACUAUAUGCUGAUGAGAACUUGAGCUGCUCUGUCGGAACAUGGUCCAACAAUGGCGUUGUGGUAGGACAAUUCCGAGUGCUUGUGAGAAAACUCCAAGAAACCAAGACAAAAGUCUUGCCACCUGUUACUUCCAAAACAUGGAAUUGUUCUUGGAUUAUGCUUUCAUGGCCCUCUAAGCCCCAUCUACAGAGAUUUACCACCUGUGAUCAUCACAUAGAAAGAGAAUCCUUAAGACUCUUUGCUACUCAUGAUCUUGAGAAACAGGAAGAUUCUACUAAAAAUACCCUGAGGUGCUGGAGCACAAGCCUGGGAAACAUAAGAAAGUUUGGGUAUCAGCAAGGAGACACCAGUGUGUAAAGGCAUCACCACAUGAAUGGAGCUACAAGAGAUGGCAAAUUCCAGUACGUUUCAGGAAGGAGCUGAGUCAAUGUUUCAUGUGCAGUUACACAUACAGGCUGACUUUUCACAUCCAGAAAUGAUCUAAAUAUGCUUCGUGGGAUUCAAAAUCAGCAUCAGCUCCUCUUAGCAAAAAUCGCUUUCAUCUCUCCAAGAGCUGCUUCUGUGGAAUGUGUGGUCAUUCUUUGCUAGAAGGCAUUUGGGGAAGCCACAUCAGCCUAAAUUCUCAUGAGAAUUCCUCUUGCCUGUCAGAUACUUUAUCUUCAAAGAAUGGCACUUGACUGUUACGGGAUCCCUCCAUCCUCCAUGACAAAAUGAGAAAGUAUACAUUGGUGUUUCAACUGCUUCAGUUAUUGAGGUGACAUUUUGUACCAUGUGAUGGGAUAGGAAUGUCAUCAUGUUUCAUCUGUAUUUGUGAAAUAAAAUGUGCAACCCUCAUUUUCACUGAAAAGACAGCAGCCCAAAUUUCUGCCCUCUCACUCAAAGAGGGAAAACAUUCUGACUUAAAUUUCUUGAGGGGAUGGUGACUGAACAUUUUAAAGAUGGAUAUUGUUAUGGUUGUUGGAUGGAUUUGUUUAUAGUUUAGCAACAUUUGAUCUCUAUCUCCAGGAGAUGGUGGUAGCCAUUAACCAGAUAGUUUUCCUACUAGGUCAUUAUAAAACAGAUCAGAUUAGAGACUUGUACUCUAUACAUUAUUGGUCAAAUUCCUCUCAUUUCCAAACAUAGCCAAAACAUAAGAACAGCAAUUAUCAAGGUGUUCUAGGGAGACAAUUUUCCCAUAGGUACCUUAAACCAUCACUAGAACAAAGGGCAAAAAGUAAAGUUAAGCACCUAAGACUUAUUGCCACUAAGAACUUACUUUCCCUUCUGUUGAUGUACCAGGCAUUGCACUGAGUAUUUUACCCAUUCAUUUAUUUAGAUUUGGUUAUCUAUUCUGUGAGCAUGGGUAUUUUUGCUUACAUAUAUUUUGUGUACCACAUGCAUGCCUGGUGUUCACGGAAAGCAGAAAGGACAUGGAAUUUACUGAAACUGGAGUUAUAAGUGGUUGGAAGCCACCCAUGUAGGUACAAGGAACCAGGUCACCUAUUUAAGUGUGAGAGCAGUCAUGCUCAACUGCUGACCCAUCUCUCUAGCCACCCGUUCUUUCCCUUUAAACUGAUAACUCAGAACUAAGAAUUUCUGAGAGGCAAUUAAUUUCUGCAGAGGUAAACUUACAGGUCUCCAGCAUUUAAAAGCAGAUGAGUCCUGCAAUCUAAGAAGUGUUUAUUGAAAUGCCUUACAAAGAACAAUGGGGAAUGGCAUUUAACUAGCACAGACUACAGCAUAGGCUUUUUACAGAGAUAGUGUCUUGAUGUCUAGAGUCACUUAGAAAAUAGAUCUUCAUGUUCCACGGGUGAGAAACAGGAGGAUAAAGAGAUUAAAUCAACCAACACCACAAAUGAAAUCAAUAGCAAUGAUGAGAUUUAAACCCUUGAGCCUAACUCCAAACCCUAAUACAAUCUGCCUCAGAAGGCUGCCUAUCAGUUGUAUGAAACUGUGGACCCUGUACAAUGAAUGGCCUCUGUUUCUCAUGGCUCAUGUUCUGUGUUGUAUCUCAAUGUGUACAGACAUGACUAAUAUAAGACUGAAGACAGAACUACUUCAAAUGUGUUCUUAAAAUGUGUAUUUGAGUCCUUUGGGGAGCAAUACUUCUUUUAGUUUCUUCAAUUUGUAGAGGACCGUUGUCAUCUUAUUCCUGGCCCCUAUAGUUUAUUGUACCAGACUGCUAAGCCUGGAAAAAAGAACUGGGCAUGUGCAGAUCAUCCCAGGAGUCCUUUUCCCAUUGGAAGAUAUCGUGAUCAGGAAGAGCCUGUGUGUUUUAUGCUGCACCCCGAUUCUAUGGUUCUUAGCCACCACUGUCUCUGCACGUAACAGAAGUAUGAAUAGAAGUCCAAUUUUCAAGUUCAGAGUAUGAAUGCUCACUUGAUCGCAAGCAGCAUCCCCACAUUUUUAUAUCAGUUCUAUCAACAACAAAAGUGAUACUUCAACUUUAUUUCUGUCUGGCUUUCUCCUUUACCUUCUGUCUGUUGAUUUGAGUUAUAGAGAAAGGUACUAAUUAUUGAAUUCUUUCUAUCGCAGUAGCAACCAUAUGUGUCACAGAAGCCAGAGCAAAUGAAGUUCAAUGUUAAAAGAAAACUUGUUGCAAAUUGGGAGUUCUGAGUUAGAACUUGAAAAACGUGUUGCUAUCAGAAAGAGAUGCCUUCUUAUGCACUAUAUACCAUGAGUCAAAACCCUGUCCCCAGCAGGCCCCAAAUUACCCAUGAUAUGAGGAAUGGCUGAUGAGAACUGGAAUAAAACACAUCCCCAUCUAUUGAAGGUACGUCCAGGUGAAUGUCCACUCAUCGUCAGGGAGCCAGGUUCCUGUAGCAUCUAAAAAAGGGAGACAACGAGUAUUUGCUUUGGGAAACAGGACUGAUUUUCUCUUCUGCAGCAUAUCAGCUUCCUGAACUUACUGACCUGUAACCAUCUACACAUUUGUCCUUCCAUUCCCUCUAACACCUUUGUCAGCAGUUCCCUGUGACAAACUGUUUCUCUUAAAGUACCUAGAAAGCAAUUGUUUUCCUAAGACAGAACUGCCUUCAUAGAAUUCUAAGAAGAUGGAAUCAUUUUCAGUCAUAUCCUGGAAGUAAAUCUCUGGAAGGUGUCUGUCUGUCUUUG